rnacentral:rRNA from 1 species
GAUGAACGCUGGCGGCGUGCUUAACACAUGCAAGUCGAACGAUGAAGCCCAGCUUGCUGGGUGGAUUAGUGGCGAACGGGUGAGUAACACGUGAGUAACCUGCCCUUAACUCUGGGAUAAGCCUGGGAAACUAGGUCUAAUACCGGAUAGGAGCGCCUACCGCAUGGUGGGUGUUGGAAAGAUUUAUCGGUUUUGGAUGGACUCGCGGCCUAUCAGCUUGUUGGUGAGGUAAUGGCUCACCAAGGCGACGACGGGUAGCCGGCCUGAGAGGGUGACCGGCCACACUGGGACUGAGACACGGCCCAGACUCCUACGGGAGGCAGCAGUGGGGAAUAUUGCACAAUGGGCGAAAGCCUGAUGCAGCGACGCCGCGUGAGGGAUGACGGCCUUCGGGUUGUAAACCUCUUUCAGUAGGGAAGAAGCGAAAGUGACGGUACCUGCAGAAGAAGCACCGGCUAACUACGUGCCAGCAGCCGCGGUAAUACGUAGGGUGCGAGCGUUAUCCGGAAUUAUUGGGCGUAAAGAGCUCGUAGGCGGUUUGUCGCGUCUGUCGUGAAAGUCCGGGGCUUAACCCCGGAUCUGCGGUGGGUACGGGCAGACUAGAGUGCAGUAGGGGAGACUGGAAUUCCUGGUGUAGCGGUGGAAUGCGCAGAUAUCAGGAGGAACACCGAUGGCGAAGGCAGGUCUCUGGGCUGUAACUGACGCUGAGGAGCGAAAGCAUGGGGAGCGAACAGGAUUAGAUACCCUGGUAGUCCAUGCCGUAAACGUUGGGCACUAGGUGUGGGGACCAUUCCACGGUUUCCGCGCCGCAGCUAACGCAUUAAGUGCCCCGCCUGGGGAGUACGGCCGCAAGGCUAAAACUCAAAGGAAUUGACGGGGGCCCGCACAAGCGGCGGAGCAUGCGGAUUAAUUCGAUGCAACGCGAAGAACCUUACCAAGGCUUGACAUGUUCUCGAUCGCCGUAGAGAUACGGUUUCCCCUUUGGGGCGGGUUCACAGGUGGUGCAUGGUUGUCGUCAGCUCGUGUCGUGAGAUGUUGGGUUAAGUCCCGCAACGAGCGCAACCCUCGUUCCAUGUUGCCAGCACGUCGUGGUGGGGACUCAUGGGAGACUGCCGGGGUCAACUCGGAGGAAGGUGAGGACGACGUCAAAUCAUCAUGCCCCUUAUGUCUUGGGCUUCACGCAUGCUACAAUGGCCGGUACAAUGGGUUGCGAUACUGUGAGGUGGAGCUAAUCCCAAAAAGCCGGUCUCAGUUCGGAUUGGGGUCUGUAACUCGACCCCAUGAAGUCGGAGUCGCUAGUAAUCGCAGAUCAGCAACGCUGCGGUGAAUAAAUUCCCGGGCCU